UACGUAUGGGGCAAGCGUUGUCCGGAUUUAUUGGGCGUAAAGGGUGCGUAGGUGGUGCUGUAAGUCAGGUGUGAAAUCCCGGGGCUCAACCCCGGAACUGCACUUGAUACUGUAGUGCUUGAGGACUGGAGAGGAGAUCGGAAUUCAUGGUGUAGCAGUGAAAUGCGUAGAUAUCAUGAGGAAGACCAGUGGCGAAGGCGGAUCUCUGGACAGUUCCUGACACUGAGGCACGAAGGCCAGGGGAGCAAACGGG
rnacentral:rRNA from 1 species